rnacentral:misc_RNA from 1 species
GCAACAACGUUGCCCUGAACGGCAAGACUAACAACUCGUCGCGAGACUUGAGCGUGUGUGGUUUGCAAACUACUAACAACGGCUUGACCAUCAACAACGACAAUAACGGCCUGAAUAAUCACGGCGACCUGCUGCUGAGCCACAAUAACAAACUCGUGAGCUGCGUCGAUCGCGACGACGACGAACAACACGACGACCGCGUCAACGAGGAGGACGACGACGAUCAUCUCGUCGUGAUCGCGAACAACGCGAAGAACGAGCAAGACUCUCAGCAACAGCAGGACGACGACAAAAGCCUGCAGGAGAUAAUCGACAGCGAGCUCGCCCUGAGGAUAUCCGCGGCGAACAACGACACGGCCGCUGCGGACGACGAUACCGAGGACGACGAGCCACUGCUCGAGGACGACAUGGUGGUACAGCAGCAGCCUGAAAUCACCAAGAGGAUUAUUCUUGAGCCUCGACGCGGGUCUUUGAUCGACGAAAACGAGCAGUUCAUAACGCACGAGAUCGAGCAUUAUCGGCUGAUAGCCGAGCCCUAUCCCAAUGCCCACGUCAGUCCCGACCCGAAGGAUCCGCCAGAUGUCGAGGACGUCGACGAGGACGAGGACGACGAAGUUUUCGAAAUCGAGACGGAGACCACGACGACCGAGCCCACGACCACCACGGGUCCGUCUCUGCCGUCCGCCUACGAAGUGUCCAACGAGCUGCAGUUGAAAAACGACAUCAAUCACGAGAAGGAGGAGGACAUCGGCAAGCAAGCCGAGGACGAUCAGACCACCACCAACACCCUGAGCGAUUUCUUAGUCACGGAAGAGACCACCGACGACAACAACUCGUCCAAGGGCGGUGGUCAAUCGUCGAUCGUCGCCACCGACAAGCUCUAUCAGGACAUCGACGAGCUCGUCGUCACGCCCAGCAGCAACUGCAGCAGCGGCAGCGGCAGCAGCAACGAGGACAAGAACAACGGACAUCUGCUGACGGACGAUCUGCUGCUCGACGAGAUAACCGAGGACGACUCGUCCAAGUACAACGACAACGAGUUCAAGGAUCUGUCGAGCGCCACCUUCAUCGAGCACGAGAUACCCGAGCCGAUCUCGCUUAAAGAGGCCUCGGGGGUGGACGAGAAGUCCUGCUCGUUUUACGAGACCGAGGCCAGAAGCCCCGAGCCGACCAGCGUGGACAACGACGACGACGAGAGCAACAGUAGUCUGUCGAUCAGCAAUAUACCGACGACUACGACGCAGACCGUGUCCACCGACGUGACGGAUUUCAAGGACAACAACACCAACACCACCACCACCAAGAGCUCCGAUUGGCUCGACGAUCAUCAUCGCCACGUCGACAAGGAAUUAUCACCCGUGUCGAUCGUCGUCACGCAAGCCGCGGAGGAGCCGCAGCAGCAGCCGCAGAGCUUGCAGAGCUUGCCGAGCUUGCACGAUCAGUGCAGCGUGGGCAGCACCCCCUACGACAGCGGCAACUUUUACAGCCAGGAGGGCAAGUUCGAGAAUUAUCUCGAGAAGAGCGGCAGCCGACUGCUGGAGGAGGACGACGGCGGCGAUCUGGCUCCGCUCGCGACUCCCGACGAGAUCUCGGAGAUUUCCAAUGCCGCCUCUAACGAUAGCGAGAGUCGCGAGGAGGUCAUAACGACGAGCUCCGUCGUGAGCUCGACGAAGAAAAAGAAGAAGAUCGAGGCCACAGCGGGAAGCGAUGCAUCGCCGAAUCACACGAAAACUAAGAAAACCAAGAAAAGCAAGAAGAGCGAGCUCGAGAAGGAGAACAUCUCCGUGAAGAAGAAAUUAAAAUCAAAAGAGUCGAAGAAAGAGAGCUUAAACAUGCACACGGGACCGAGGCAGACGUCGGCGGAGAUGAUCGAAAUCUCUGCCGAGGACGAUCUGUCGAAUGUCAACGUCAAGUCGCUGACACAGACGUACGCCCUGGAGUCGUCGCAUCGAGGCGAUUUGGAGAAACCAAACAAAGAAAUCAUCGCCACCGGUGUGUCCAUCAAACAGUUGUGUCGCAGCUUCGGAGACGUUUCCAACAUGAACGACGCCGACAAGAACACCACGCUCACGAAUUCGGACAGCAAUAGGCAUCACGAGAGAGCAAAAUCGACGGGCGAUCUGAGCUUUGACGAGCAGGACCGAUGCAAGUACUUCACAGGUCGUGACGUAGUUUUCGCUUCAGUUAAUGUCAAGGCUCUCCGAGCCUCGUACAAUAACCUGGCGAACUUGCAACGCUCCGUGUCGGAUUGUCCCAAGCGAAGAUACACGCGCUCCUGCAGCGAUCGCAUAAGGCCCGUGGCUGACCUGUUCGAGAAAUCGAGCUUCAACAAAUUCGACGCGCUGACGAAAAAAUCAGGCGCCGUGCUGCACGUACGCUCGGUCGACGCCAGCAAAGUCCAGCAGCAGCUCAAUUCCGUCGCUCAGAACGGCGACGCCAAUCCGAACUGUCGCAGUUGCGGCAAAGUCGUCUUCCAGAUGGAGCAGACCAAGGCCGAGGGCCUGGUCUGGCACAAGAACUGCUUCCGCUGCUGCCAGUGCAGCAAGCAGCUCAGCGUCGACAGCUACGAGAGCCACGAGUCGACCCUGUACUGCAAGCCCCACUUCAAGGAGCUGUUCCAGCCGAAACCCGUCGAGGAGAGCGACCAGCCCAUGCGCCCUAGAAAGCCGGAGAUGAUCAUACGCGAAAAUCAGCCAAAAGAGUUACCGCCCGACGUCGUGAGAGCUUCGGACAAGCCCGAUCUCGGGCUCGAGGAGCUCUCGGCGCUCAACGUCAAGUCACGCUUCCAAGUCUUCGAAAAGGCCAACAACCACGACAACCACUUAAACGAGAUCGAAAGGUCUCCGUCUCAAGUGGCCGUCAAGAGGUCGCCCAGUAUACUCAGUAAAUUAGCCAAAUUCCAAGCGAAGGGUAUGGACAUCGGCGUGACGGACGACGCUCUCAAUGGAAUACCAUACGAAGAAUCCAGCGAGAGCGACGAGGAGAUCGAAGAGGAGGAAACAGAAGAAGUUGAGACCGAGACGACAAUAAUCAAGUCGAAUCGAGGCAAUCGUGAACGACCGAUUAGCUUCACGAAAAUGGACGACAUCAAGAACCGCUGGGAGAGCACGAGCCGAGAGGGCAGGAAGGAGUCGCUGCGCGAGGCUCGCAAGGAAGAGAUCGCCGGAAUACGCUCGAGGCUCUUCAUGGGCAAACAAGGCAAAAUGAAGGAAAUGUACCAGCAGGCCGUGGCGGACAGCGAUAAAAUUCAGAAAAUCAACGCGGUGGAAGAGAUCCAACAUUCGACAAACGCGCGCUCCAUUAAGGAGCGCUUCGAACGUGGCGAACCGAUCGCGGCGACGAGCGACGAGGAAAUCGAAAAUGCCAAGAACAAAUCAGAAAAGCCGGACGAGGAGAUACUUGCCGCAGGAAUAAGCAGAAAAUCCCGUUCGCUGUUCCUCGAGAUGGACGCAACGGCCGCGAAAACCGGCAGACCCGUGACGCCCAACAGUCAAUCCAAAGCACCAGAGACCCCCACCAGCAGGAGGGCGCGCGACGCAUUCAUGGGCCGACAAGUGUCGGACGACGUGGUGCGUAGCAGCGAUCAGACCGAAGAGGUAAAGGUCGAGACCUCGGACAUUUCGAACAAAUUCAAGUUCUUCGAAACCUACAGAGAGCCAGAAAAGACGCGCAAACAGUUUCGGAUCACACCGCCUCGUGACGGACAAGUCAAGUUGGAUUCGCCAGAUCGCGAGAUCUACCGUGAUCCGGAAGUGGUGCGCGCCGACGAUCGCGCCACCGACGACAUCGUCCACACGGACACGGCCCGCAAGAUGCUCGGCUUCUUCCGCCAGAUGGAGGAGAAGGCCACCAAGGAGGACCUGCCCGACGGCCCGAAGCCCCUCAAACGUUUCACGCCGCCGCCCGAGGACAAAUUCGGCAAAGCCACGGCCAGCGAGUCCGGCGAGGAGGAGGAAGAGGCCGACGAGUCCGAGGACGAGGAACAGAACCCCAACUACGUUCGGGCUUCCGAUAAAGUCGAGGACGAGUUCCUGAAGCAGGCGAACAACGGCGCCGUGCGCGCCAAGACUCUGCGCGCCAAGUUCGAGCAGUGGGAGACGAGCGACGCGAAAGCCGCCGCGACGAACAAUCAUCAUCACGUGGCCGAGAUGGACAUGGCCCAGACCGACGGCAGCCAGCCGAGCAUCGAGUCAGCCAGCUCCCUGAGAGCUCGCUUCGAGUCGCUGGGCUCGACGCCGCAAGAGGCACCGCGCACGCCUAAGGUCAAGGUCAAUCGAUUUGUGCUUCAAGUCGAUGAAAAAGUUCGAAACAUUAUAGCAUUAAUUUCUUUCACAUAUUUUCUCAUCUAUAUCAUAUUCUUUUACGAACCCCCCCAUGGUUUCAUAGGAAAUUCAAACGAACUGCAUCGAUGUGUGCGAAAGUUGCGAGAAGAAGGUCUAUCCACUUGAGAAAGUGGAAACGAACAAUAAGAUAUUCCACAAGCAGUGCUUCAGAUGUCUUCAGUGCAAUUGUAUCCUGAGAAUGGAUACUUUCACUUUGAAUAACGGCAAGCUCUAUUGCAUCCCACACUUUAAGCAGCUCUUUAUAACCCGAGGAAAUUACGACGAGGGUU